UACGUAGGGGGCAAGCGUUGUCCGGAAUCAUUGGGCGUAAAGAGCGUGUAGGCGGCCCGGUAAGUCCGCCGUGAAAGUCCAGGGCUCAACCCUGGAAAGCCGGUGGAUACUGUCGGGCUAGAGUCCGGAAGAGGCGAGUGGAAUUCCUGGUGUAGCGGUGGAAUGCGCAGAUAUCAGGAGGAACACCAAUAGCGAAGGCAGCUCGCUGGGACGGUACUGACGCUAAGGCGCGAAAGCGUGGGGAGCGAACAGG
rnacentral:rRNA from 1 species